AAAAGAAAAAUCGGUAAAUGGGAAAAUAUACAAAGAGAACGAACGAACGAAAAUAUUUAUUUAAAACGAACGAACGAGAAUACCAGAUUUUUUACAAAACGCAAUACAUGAAGUAAGGUUUGAUAACCGCACAUACAUUAAACAUCCUUGUUGUUGAAGCACACAUUUGUUCCAACACUGUGUUCGUUACCUACACACACUCGGACAAAUCAACGAUAUCGGAUCAUCGACCAACAAAAAAAAAAACCAUCAACAUCGACAUCGA